GAGAGGGUCGCCUCUGCUGGCCGAGACGCCACCAGAACUGGACUGUCAGAGAGUGCUGUGGAGGGUCAUGUCUCAAAGCAUCCCAUCACUCUACAAAUCAAGAACCAUCCAUAAAUCCAGACAAUUUGACUAAGACACACCCACGAUACGACCAGUACCAACUGCUGCUGUCAGGUCAACGGUUCAAACCCCCACUGUAGAACAAACAAGGCACACAAGUCGCUGAUAUCAACGAGCAUCAGGUUCCUAAAUACAAGAAGACUAAACUGUAACCCACCACCUAUUUGUCUGUAUGUCCUUGUGAAGUAUGUCCUGUGAUAUCUAUGUUGUAUUUAAGUGAAGUGUUCAAUGUUCUGUGAUGUUGCAUGUGUGCCAUUAUUCCCAAACAAAUGCUGCUAUGUAACAAUGAAGUAUUCAUUCAUCCAUUGUUGUCGGGAUAUUGGGAUUCCCUAACCUGGUCCCAAUGCACUCCCUACCCCUUCCCCUUGGAUAGCUAUCAGAGGGUUAUGACUUAAAAUUCUUUCUUUUUUUUAAUAACAUGCAAAUCCUGGAUUCUAUCCUCUCUUGUUGUGAUAAUAAAUGUUGAUUCUUAUGUUAUUUAAAACUUUU